CGGCACGCCUAACCAUGCAAGUCGAACGAAGUAGCAAUACUUAGUGGCAGACGGGUGAGUAACAUGUAGGUAUCUGCCCUUUGGCCUGGAAUAACACGAGGAAACUUGUGCUAAUACCGGAUAAGUCUUUACGGAGAAAGCUUUAUGCACCAUUGGAUGAGCCUGCACUUGAUUAGUUUGUUGGUGGGGUAAUGGCCUACCAAGACUGUGAUCAAUAGCUGAUUUGAGAGGAUGAUCAGCCACAUUGGGACUGAGACACGGCCCAAACUCCUACGGGAGGCAGCAGUGGGGAAUCUUGCACAAUGGAGGAAACUCUGAUGCAGCGAUGCCGCGUGAGUGAAGAAGGCCUUUGGGUUGUAAAGCUCUUUCGUCGGGGAAGAAAAUGACUGUACCCGAAUAAGAAGGUCCGGCUAACU
rnacentral:rRNA from 1 species